rnacentral:lncRNA from 1 species
GAGUCUAUAGUGUGAUUGGUCCGCCCGCAUCGGGCCUUCAAUCCACCUGGUCCACUCUCUGAAUCUAACCACAUACAUCGAGUCUGCAGUGUGAUUGGUCCGCCCGCACCGGGCCUUCAAUCCACCUGGUCCACUCUCUGAGUCUACAGUAUGACUGGUCCGCCCGCACCGGGCCUUCAGUCGGCCUGGUCCACUCUCCGAGCCUCGGCACGUCUGGUCCGCCCUCUUGGGGCCUACAGCCUAUCCGGACCGCUUGCUGGGCCUUCGGGACAACCGGUCCGCCCUGGGUAUCUUGGCCUACAGCACAAAGCAGGACCCGCCUCAACCCAACUCCAGUCCAAACAACCAUGUGCACAUAAACAUACAAUCAUAUAACAAUUCACAGUCAAC